rnacentral:rRNA from 1 species
UGCGUAGGGUGCGAGCGUUGUCUGGAAUUAUUGGGCGUAAAGAGCUCGUAGGCGGUGUGUCACGUCAGCCGUGAAAACCUGCAGCUUAACUGUGGGCGUGCGGUCGAUACGGGCAUCACUGGAGUUCGGCAGGGGAGACUGGAAUUCCUGGUGUAGCGGUGAAAUGCGCAGAUAUCGGGAGGAACACCGGUGGCGAAGGCGGCGACCUGGGUAGAUACUGACGCUGAGGCGCGAAAGCGUGGGGAGCAAACAGG